AACAUCAGAUUAAUUAACAUAGGUUAUCCAUUCACUAACCUCACUUACUUUUAGUACCGUUAGGACCAAAUUCCUUUCUGCCAGCCAUAAGGAAGAACGUAUAAAUAGGACAAGAAAGGUGCAGUUACAAUCAGUGGGCCAGACCUGCAGCUGGUGUAAACUGGAACCUCUACCACUGAAGUCAAUGGAACUACAGCAAUUGACAAUCUGGCCCAGUGCCUUAUCAGGUAACACAAAAACAAUACACUCUGGAGACCUUCAAAGUUACUUAACUGGACAACAAACAGUUAAAAACAAACAGUCUUUUCCCUUAGAGCACUGAAAAGCUACAGAACUGAGACAUCAGAAUCUAGAGAUACCAAUGACUAGAUGAUAACUCCAGACAGGCAAAGUUGUAUAGAGCGGAUAAAGUCUGCAGUGAAGGAGAAAUCAAAGCAUGCUCACUUGCUGUUUGAGAUAACAACCUGCUUCGGAGAGAGGCUGAUGCUGCAAUGCCAGAAGCUUCCGCAACAGUCCACUGUGAAAAUGAGGUGCUCUUAAGAAUAACAGGUGCAGCAACAUCGUCUGGAGUGAGACUUUCUCUAAGGUCAUUAUUCAAUUAUCUGAGAUGCAUACUGCCCUUGGACUGCCUGUUACAUCUACCAGAACAUGCCAGAAGUUUAGAAGUCAGAGGAUUGCAAGUCCCCAAGGGCAAAGACUGUAUUCUUGGACAACAGGGGAUGGAUCACUCGAUAACUGCCUGUUCAUUCCCUCUGAAGCACCUGGCAUUGGUCACUGUCGGAAGACAGGAUAUUGGGGUAGAUGGACCAUUGGUCUGACCAGUAUAGCCGUUCUUAUGUUCUUUGUUUCUUCUCUGUACAAUGCCUAGCACAAAGGGCCCUGUUCCGAGACUGGGUUCUUAGGUGGUACCAUAAUACAAACAAAUAAUACACACUUGAUAAUAUCCACACCUAACUUUUCUGGUUGAUGGAAAAAUUAAACUUACCAUUUUGUUUCAUUUUAACAAUUAAAAUGGCAUUUUACCCAGGAGCUGUACCAUGGAACAUUAUCUAGGUCCGAUUCACCAUACACCUCUCUGCACCAGCAUGGCUCUCUCACUCCACUGGGGGAUCCAACCCAAAGGAUAGGAGGUGGAGGGACCAUGACUGCUGCCCUCCCACAGGAGGCUCUUUAACUCAUGUCAGGUACUCCACAAUGGUUCUGAUGGCACAGUCUCCGGAGAAGAUACAUACAAUCAAUGCUCUACUUGGACACCCAAGCCAUGCAGUGUCCCAGCCAGCACCACCCAUUUUUGGUGUCCUCUUCAGAUUCCUGAGUCACCUAGCACAAAGGAAACUGCAGCCAGUUUCUAUCACUGCCACCUCCACCUCUGACUGACCUUGUGCCACUGAGGCGUCUAACAGACCCUAUGCUCUCCGUGCUUUGCAGCUACCACAUUUCCCUUAACACAAAUUACUGCACACCUUAAGCCAGACUCUGUUCUUGGUAACCCCACUAUAGAUCUGGAAUAACUCCAUUGAAGACAACUGAAUCAUUCUAGAUUGAUACAGACAUAACAUGAGAAUUCGAUCCUUUGUUUCUUCUCAUUUUUAUUGUUAAGAGAAGACUAGAAGGUGACAAGACGUUAAGAUAACAUACCAGAAAAGAAGAGGAAAAAGGCUUUUAAAAAUUCCCUCAAUUAUGUCAAUAUCGCUUUUUUGUUAAUCUUUUCACCUUUCAUCUAAAAUCAAAUGUCACAUCCUUUCAAAAAUUUGAUCAUGUCCUCUAUUGCUGAGUGUCCUAUCGUUGCCUUCUACCUACCUACCAUACUUAUAUGACACUUAUUACCACAGUAUCUGAGCGCCUCACAAUCUUUAAUACAUGUAUCUUCCCAACACCCCUGCAUUGUAUGGAAGUACUCUUAGCCCCAUUCUACAGAUGAAAACCUAAGCAGAAACACUAUAUGACUUGUCCACAGGGUCACACAGCACAUUUGUGGCAGAACAGGAAACUGAACAUAUAUUUCCCAAACAUCAAAUGAGGGUCCUAACCACAAGACCAUUCUUCCUCAUUGCUGAGGGAUGGACUCAAUAACCUAACAGGUCUUUUUUUAUUAGCCAAGCUUGAGAAAGCUGUGUGAUCAACUAGAUGACAUUUCUAACACUGCAUCCGAUCAAUGCCAACAUUUCAGAGAACGUUCAAGCAAUCAACUAUCAGAACAUUACUGAUUUUGGGCAAAGAUUGGAAACUAAAAGGGAGAAAAUUGGAAGACUAGGUUUACACUGCAAUUGAAAGCCCGCAGCUGGGCAGUGCCAGCUGACUCAGGCUCACAAGGCUCGGGCUGCGGGGCUGUUUAAUCGCAGUGUAGAUAUCUGAGCUUGGGCUGGAGCCUGGGUUCUAGGACCCUGCAAAGUGGAAGGGUCACAGAGCUCAGGCUACAGUUGGCGCCAGAUUGUCUACACCACAAUUAAUCAGCCUCUUAGCCUGAGUCAGCAUGGUCCAUUCCCAGGUGUCUAAUUGCAGUGUAGACAUACCCUGUCAUCUGUUUAGCACAGCCGCAGCUUUAGACACCUCUUGAUUGUCUACAGAAUAAACAACUGGUUGAUGGUACCCAUUAAUGCCUUCCAGCAUAACAAUACCCCUGCUCAUCCUCCCAAUAGAUUUGAACACACUGAAUGACUUACCUCCCAGAUGAAUAAUAAUAAAAUGGGAAAAGGAAGAAUGGGGGGGGGACAUAAAGGAAUGGGGGGAAUCAAGGCACACAAAAAGCCAUGGUAGGGGAGAGGCACAACGGGGGGGCCCUGGUAUAGGAGAGGGGUGGAGAGUAGCAUUACAGGGAGUACCUGAAAUUGAGGGGGAUGGAAACAUGGCACACAGGGAGUUUGUGGGGUGCAAUGGAGGGAUGCAAGGAGCCCCUGCGGUAUGCAAUAAGUUUGGUUGACAGAAGCUGUGAGACGUGUGACCCCCCUCCACCCCCGCCAGUCUAUAACUACUGUGAUUCCAUUGUAGCAUAAAGAGCUCUUCUUGGAUUUGAGUAGAUGGUCACCUUAGCAUUAAUGCUUUUAUGAAGUGAUCCAUGUGAAUGACACAAGUUAUCUUUGUAAUUAAUUUCUGCUUUUCUUUAUCUCAGAGUAGGAAAUCUCUUUAAAACUGCCAGUGAUGAAGCAGGAACUUUCUCUUCUUGCCUCUCUAACUUGUACGACUUCAUAUCUGGGGGGAAAAAAAAAUACCCUGAAUUGUUUUCCUCCUUGAAUAAGCAUACUCUGCCUGUUCAUGCCAGGAAUGCAUUCCUAGCAACUCCACCUCUUUUAGAGGGAGUUAUGCAAUGCUAAAGAGUACAGCAGAGUUAACCCUUUAUAACCUUAUAAGCUCUGAUGUGGUCACAUCUCAAAGUAAACAAGGGUGAGAGUGAUUGGUACUUGGGUGCUGGAACAAUUUGCGUAGUUGGGGUGCAGAGAGGCAUUGAACCAAACUGUAAACCCUGUGUAUGGUGGAAACCACUCCAAGCCAGAGGGUGGAGCAGCACCCCCAGUGCCAGCACCUAUGGCAGUACUUGGAUGGAGGGCCUCUAAGGAAUACUUGGGGCUUGUCUACAUGGGGAAAUUGACCAGAAUAGCUAUUGCAGAAUAAGCUAUUCCACAACAGCUCACCAUGUGUUCUGGUGGGCAUAUUUUAUUCCCAAUUAAUCAGCGUGCUCACAAAGUGCACUAAUUAUUCCAGAAUCAAGUGAUCUGCUCCGGAAUGGAGUGGCCACAGGGAGAUCUGUUCUGGAAUAAUGAUUGUGGAAUAGCUUGUUCUGAAAUAGCUAUUCUGGUCAAUUUCCUCAUAUAGACAAGACCUUUGGUGCUGCAGAAGUGGGGGUGGCAAUUCUGAAGUCUGGCAUACUAUAUUCUCUCAAAUUAAAGUGUAGCACUAUGGUCCAUUGUGUUGCUGGAGGUACCAUUAACCAUUUUUCGAUAAGACACAAUAUCAAGAUCCUGGACCAUCUGUCUGUUGUAUAUCCUCUUGUCCUAUUGCAAAGAAGAGAGGGCUGUAAUCCCCAGGGGCCUGGCCAAAUGAUAAUUUUGAGUAAUUACAUUCUGCCUGUUUAAAAUUUCCCUUGUGGUUUCAAUUGGAUAACAUAUGCUUCAGUGCUAAACCCUUUCCACAUUCCACUUCAGGGUGGCUACAUUCAACCGUAAUGAAGUGUUCCUGCCAUAGACUUCGUAUUUCAGUUAGUUAUAUUUGUCAAUUGCUUUCAGAUCCUUCAGAGUGAAUGGUGCUACAUAAAUAAGAGUUCCUGAUUAAUUAAUGAAUGUGCAAAAAACAUCGUAGAACAGCAACGAAAUGGUGUUUGAAUGAAGAAUAGUUUCAGGUGUUUGUUUUCAUAUUUCUUUCAUACUGCAAGGAUACAAGCAAAAUCUUCUCUGUGAAUGAAUAUGCCUUUAGAACAUCAAUCACCUACCAACCAUCUAUAGAGUUAAAGUGCAGCAGCUCUUCAUCAGAGUGUGUUAUAAGAAAGAGCCUUAGAAGGAAGCAAUUAAAUUAUUAAUAAUAAAUACACUUUUAAUAUAUUGCAACCGGUGUGCAUGUAACUUGACAAACAGUCAAGACCCCGGCCCCAAAGAAUCUACAAUCUAUAACAUAUAAACCAAUAAUUAUCAGUAACAGAACAAAGGACUACAGGUUAGGAAAAUAAAUAAAAAUAUAUAUACACACAAAGGAGAAGUUGCACAAAUCCAAGCCAGCUGUUACACAAGCAAAAUCUGCAAGGCUGGGUGCCAAAGUUAGAAACCUGACUCAGAGGCCUGGGCACGCACAACUAUUAUUACAUUCCACAGGAACUGUGGGUGCUCAGCCCCUUGGGAGGUGGGGGAAGAAAUCGGGCCACUUAUUCAGGUGCCUAACUUUAGCAUCCAAGUUUGAAAGACUUGAUCUUUGUAGCAACAACUGAUUUAGAUGUAUUUAGGUGAUUUAUAGAUUUGGAUGCCAAUUUUAGACACCCAAGUUGGAAAAUUUUGGCCACGUUGUAUGCAAGUCAAUAAUACCAUGUGGAUUAAUGAAGUGCUAUGAACAGUCUAAGCAAUAAAUUUUCUGAAGAAUCAAGCAGUUGGAUCAAGUAUAAGAAUGACCAAAAAACCAGUACAAAUGGUGCUAGCUGCUGAGGUGUUGCAUAAUCUCAGCUGACGCAUCAAAAGUGAAUUACAAAUCAUAUAGACAACAUUUCCGAACAGUAUCUAUGCUGCUGAAUUCAAA